AGAGUUUGAUCCUAGCUCAGGAUGAACGCUGGCGGCGUGCCUAACACAUGCAAGUCGAACGAAGCUUGACGGAUGAUUUCUUCGGAAUGAAACCAGAUAUGACUUAGUGGCGGACGGGUGAGUAACACGUGAGCAACCUGCCUUUCAGAGGGGGAUAACGGCUGGAAACGGUCGCUAAUACCGCAUGAUGUGUUCGGAUGGCAUCAUCUGAACAUCAAAGAUUUAUCGCUGAAAGAUGGGCUCGCGUCUGAUUAGAUAGUUGGUGGGGUAACGGCCUACCAAGUCGACGAUCAGUAGCCGGACUGAGAGGUUGAACGGCCACAUUGGGACUGAGAUACGGCCCAGACUCCUACGGGAGGCAGCAGUGGGGAAUAUUGCACAAUGGGGGAAACCCUGAUGCAGCAACGCCGCGUGAAGGAUGACGGUUUUCGGAUUGUAAACUUCUUUUCUUAGUGACGAAGACAGUGACGGUAGCUAAGGAAUAAGCAUCGGCUAACUACGUGCCAGCAGCCGCGGUAAUACGUAGGAUGCAAGCGUUAUCCGGAUUUACUGGGUGUAAAGGGAGCGCAGGCGGGACUGCAAGUUGGAUGUGAAAUACCGUGGCUUAACCACGGAACUGCAUCCAAAACUGUAGUUCUUGAGUGAAGUAGAGGCAAGCGGAAUUCCGAGUGUAGCGGUGAAAUGCGUAGAUAUUCGGAGGAACACCAGUGGCGAAGGCGGCUUGCUGGGCUUUAACUGACGCUGAGGCUCGAAAGUGUGGGGAGCAAACAGGAUUAGAUACCCUGGUAGUCCACACUGUAAACG
rnacentral:rRNA from 1 species